GAUGAACGCUGGCGGCGUGCCUAAUACCUGCAAGUCGAGCGAAUGGAUUAAGAGCUUGCUCUUAUGAAGUUAGCGGCGGACGGGUGAGUAACACGUGGGUAACCUGCCCAUAAGACUGGGAUAACUCCGGGAAACCGGGGCUAAUACCGGAUAACAUUUUGAACCGCAGGGUUCGAACUUGAACGGCGGCUUCGGCUGUCACUUAAGGAUGGACCCGGGUCGCAUUAGCAAGUUGGUGAGGUUACGGCUCACCAAGGCAACGAUGCGUAGCCGACCUGAGAGGGUGAUCGGCCACACUGGGACUGAGACACGGCCCAGACUCCUACGGGAGGCAGAAGUAGGGAAUCUUCCGCAAUGGACGAAAGUCUGACGGAGCAACGGCGCGUGAGUGAUGAAGGCUUUCGGGUCGUAAAACUCUGUUGUUAGGGAAGAACAAGUGCUAGUUGAAUAAGCUGGCACCUUGACGGUACCUAACCAGAAAGCCACGGCUAACUACGUGCCAGCAGCCGCAGUAA
rnacentral:rRNA from 1 species